rnacentral:lncRNA from 1 species
CAUUAAGAUAAAUAUAUCCCAAGUACGGAAGCAACAGAGAAAGGUUAGAGCGAACCUCGAUACGUUUUUCAAAUGUCAAAAAAACAGUUCUAGCAACUACAACAAAUGGAAUUGCGCAACAACGAUCGUAUUCGAACAAGACCAACAGACCACACGUCGAACGAAACCUCAGAUUUGCAACCGGACAGCUCGUCAACUCGACUCGAAUCUGUGGUGGCGUUUUGGGCACUGCUGCAGUAGAUUUUAGCUGUGGUUCGAGAGCCAUUUCGUACAAGGCUUUAGUUGCUUUUUGAUUGGUUUUUAGCGAGUUUUGGGGCUGAAAUCUGAUGCGUUUAAACUGAGUUUUCUAAAGCUAAUUUGACGGACUUUGGUGCUGAUUUUGGGACAGCUUUUCUGGGAUUUUCGGACUAGGUUUUGAGCUCACGUUUCAUUGAGCUUUCAGCUAGUCUUUUGCAGAUGUUUGCUGCUGCGUUUUAGCUGGUUUGUGGAUGGUUUUCGGGGCUGAUUUGCUGGAGUUUUUCAGCUCGUUUUUUUUUUUGGCUGAGGAGGGCACAUUUUGGACUGUUUUUGCUAUGGAUUUUCAGAUGAUUUUUGUCAGCAUUUGUUGAGUAUUUUGGGGAGAACUUUUUGUUGGAUUUGUGACUAUAUUGCAGCUCUGUUUUAGCUGGAAAUUUGGACAACUUUUAAGGCUGUUUUUUGUUGGAGUUUAGGUGUGUUUUUGCUGCUGGAUUUGCUGCUGAUUUUUUAUGUUUUCAGGUGGGUUUGAGAGCUGAGUUUUAAUGGAGGUUUUUAGGAAGAAAUGAGAUGGGGCUGGCGG